AAAGUCUGUUCAGGUAAAUGAUGUAAAUGAAGUGAGAGUGAGUUUGCAUUGUGUUGUCAUGCUUCAGUGAUGUGUGAGUGUUUAUAGUGCUGUGAGUUUAACACUUCAUGACUGAGAUCAGAACAGAACAGAAUCUUCAUCAUCACACAAACCAAAAGAACAACAAUGACUUUCAUCAUCAUCUUCAUCUGGACACUCACAGUCUUUACUCAAGUGUGUAGAGGACAGUAUACUCUUACUCAGAGUCCAUCAAUAACAGUUCAACCAGGACAACAAGUUCAAAUAAACUGUAAAGUCAGCAGUGCAGUGUACAGUUAUUAUGGUGAUUACUUGCACUGGUACUUACAGACACCUGGAGAAACUCCUAAACUCCUCAUAUAUAAAACAAACACCCUUCAGUCAGGAACUCCAUCAAGAUUCAGUGGCAGCGGAUCAAACACAGAUUUCACUUUGACCAUCAGUGGAGUUCAGACUGAAGAUUCAGGAGAUUAUUACUGUCAGAGUUUUCAUUGGCCAGGCAGCACAAGAGUGUACACACAGUGAUAAAGAGUGAUACAAAAACCUCUUUCAGUCAGAC